GAUGAACGCUGGCGGCGUGCUUAACACAUGCAAGUCGAACGAUGAAGCCCAGCUUGCUGGGUGGAUUAGUGGCGAACGGGUGAGUAACACGUGAGUAACCUGCCCUUGACUCUGGGAUAAGCGCUGGAAACGGCGUCUAAUACCGGAUACGAGCUUCCACCGCAUGGUGAGUUGCUGGAAAGAAUUUCGGUCAAGGAUGGACUCGCGGCCUAUCAGGUAGUUUGUGAGGUAACGGCUCACCAAGCCGACGACGGGUAGCCGGCCUGAGAGGGUGACCGGCCACACUGGGACUGAGACACGGCCCAGACUCCUACGGGAGGCAGCAGUGGGGAAUAUUGCACAAUGGGCGCAAGCCUGAUGCAGCAACGCCGCGUGAGGGACGAAGGCCUUCGGGUCGUAAACCUCUUUUAGCAGGGAAGAAGCGAAAGUGACGGUACCUGCAGAAAAAGCACCGGCUAACUACGUG
rnacentral:rRNA from 1 species